rnacentral:misc_RNA from 1 species
GAAAUGCGAUAAUUAAUGUGAAUUGCAGAAUUCAGUGAAUCAUCGAGUCUUUGAACGCACAUUGCGCCCCCUGGUAUUCCGGGGGGCAUGCCUGUCCGAGCGUCAUUGCUGCCCUCAAGCACGGCUUGUGUGUUGGGCUUCCGUCCCUGGCAACGGGGACGGGCCCAAAAGGCAGUGGCGGCACCAUGUCUGGUCCUCGAGCGUAUGGGGCUUUGUCACCCGCUCCCGUAGGUCCAGCUGGCAGCUAGCCUCGCAACCAAUCUUUUUAACCUGGUUGACCUCGGAUCAGGUAGGGAUACCCGCUGAACUUAAGC